UUACGUGCCAGCAGCCGCGGUAAUACGUAGGUGGCAAGCGUUGUCCGGAUUUAUUGGCGUAAAGCGAGCGCAGGCGGUUUUUUAAGUCUGAUGUGAAAGCCUUCGGCUCAACCGAAGAAGUGCAUCGGAAACUGGGAAACUUGAGUGCAGAAGAGGACAGUGGAACUCCAUGUGUAGCGGUGAAAUGCGUAGAUAUAUGGAAGAACACCAGUGGCGAAGGCGGCUGUCUGGUCUGUAACUGACGCUGAGGCUCGAAAGUAUGGGUAGCAAACAGGAUUAGAUACCCUGGUAGUCCAUACCGUAAACGAUGAAUGCUAAGUGUUGGAGGGUUUCCGCCCUUCAGUGCUGCAGCUAACGCAUUAAGCAUUCCGCCUGGGGAGUACGGCCGCAAGGCUGAAACUCAAAGGAAUUGACGGGGGCCCGCACAAGCGGUGGAGCAUGUGGUUUAAUUCGAAGCUACGCGAAGAACCUUACCAGGUCUUGACAUACUAUGCAAAUCUAAGAGAUUAGACGUUCCCUUCGGGGACAUGGAUACAGGUGGUGCAUGGUUGUCGUCAGCUCGUGUCGUGAGAUGUUGGGUUAAGUCCCGCAACGAGCGCAACCCUUAUUAUCAGUUGCCAGCAUUAAGUUGGGCACUCUGGUGAGACUGCCGGUGACAAACCGGAGGAAGGUGGGGAUGACGUCAAAUCAUCAUGCCCCUUAUGACCUGGGCUACACACGUGCUACAAUGGAUGGUACAACGAGUUGCGAACUCGCGAGAGUAAGCUAAUCUCUUAAAGCCAUUCUCAGUUCGGAUUGUAGGCUGCAACUCGCCUACAUGAAGUCGGAAUCGCUAGUAAUCGCGGAUCAGCAUGCCGCGGUGAAUACGUUCCCGGGCCUUGUACACACCGCCCGUCACACCAUGAGAGUUUGUAACACCCAAAGUCGGUGGGGUAACCUUUUAGGAACCAGCCGCCUAAGGUGGGACAGAUGAUUAGGGGAAGUCGACCAAGA
rnacentral:rRNA from 1 species